GUGACUGCGUACCUUUUGUAUAAUGGGUCAGCGACUUAUAUUCUGUAGCAAGGUUAACCGAAUAGGGGAGCCGGAGGGAAACCGAGUCUUAAUUGGGCGUUAAGUUGCAGGGUAUAGACCCGAAACCCGGUGAUCUAGCCAUGGGCAGGUUGAAGGUUGGGUAACACUAACUGGAGGACCGAACCGACUAAUGUUGAAAAAUUAGCGGAUGACCUGUGGCUGGGGGUGAAAGGCCAAUCAAACCGGGAGAUAGCUGGUUCUCCCCGAAAGCUAUUUAGGUAGCGCCUCGUGAAUUCAUCUCCGGGGGUAGAGCACUGUUUCGGCUAGGGGGCCAUCCCGGCUUACCAACCCGAUGCAAACUGCGAAUACCGGAGAAUGUUAUCACGGGAGACACACGGCGGGUGCUAACGUCCGUCGUGAAGAGGGAAACAACCCAGACCGCCAGCUAAGGUCCCAAAGUCAUGGUUAAGUGGGAAACGAUGUGGGAAGGCCCAGACAGCCAGGAUGUUGGCUUAGAAGCAGCCAUCAUUUAAAGAAAGCGUAAUAGCUCACUGGUCGAGUCGGCCUGCGCGGAAGAUGUAACGGGGCUAAACCAUGCACCGAAGCUGCGGCAGCGAAAAGCCUCUAAGCAUCAGGUAACAUCAAAUCGUACCCCAAACCGACACAGGUGGUCAGGUAGAGAAUACCAAGGCGCUUGAGAGAACUCGGGUGAAGGAACUAGGCAAAAUGGUGCCGUAACUUCGGGAGAAGGCACGCUGACACGUAGGUGAAGUGAUUUACUCACGGAGCUGAAGUCAGUCGAAGAUACCAGCUGGCUGCAACUGUUUAUUAAAAACACAGCACUGUGCAAACACGAAAGUGGACGUAUACGGUGUGACGCCUGCCCGGUGCCGGAAGGUUAAUUGAUGGGGUCAGCGCAAGCGAAGCUCCUGAUCGAAGCCCCGGUAAACGGCGGCCGUAACUAUAACGGUCCUAAGGUAGCGAAAUUCCUUGUCGGGUAAGUUCCGACCUGCACGAAUGGCGUAAUGAUGGCCAGGCUGUCUCCACCCGAGACUCAGUGAAAUUGAACUCGCUGUGAAGAUGCAGUGUACCCGCGGCAAGACGGAAAGACCCCGUGAACCUUUACUAUAGCUUGACACUGAACAUUGAGCCUUGAUGUGUAGGAUAGGUGGGAGGCUUUGAAGYGUGGACGCCAGUCUGCRUGGAGCCGACCUUGAAAUACCACCCUUUAAUGUUUGAUGUUCUAACGUGGACCCGUWAYCCGGGUUGCGGACAGUGUCUGGUGGGUAGUUUGACUGGGGCGGUCUCCUCCUAAAGAGUAACGGAGGAGCACGAAGGUUGGCUAAUCCUGGUCGGACAUCAGGAGGUUAGUGCAAUGGCAUAAGCCAGCUUGACUGCGAGCGUGACGGCGCGAGCAGGUGCGAAAGCAGGUCAUAGUGAUCCGGUGGUUCUGAAUGGAAGGGCCAUCGCUCAACGGAUAAAAGGUACUCCGGGGAUAACAGGCUGAUACCGCCCAAGAGUUCAUAUCGACGGCGGUGUUUGGCACCUCGAUGUCGGCUCAUCACAUCCUGGGGCUGAAGUAGGUCCCAAGGGUAUGGCUGUUCGCCAUUUAAAGUGGUACGCGAGCUGGGUUUAGAACGUCGUGAGACAGUUCGGUCCCUAUCUGCCGUGGGCGCUGGAGAACUGAGGGGGGCUGCUCCUAGUACGAGAGGACCGGAGUGGACGCAUCACUGGUGUUCGGGUUGUCAUGCCAAUGGCACUGCCCGGUAGCUAAAUGCGGAAGAGAUAAGUGCUGAAAGCAUCUAAGCACGAAACUUGCCCCGAGAUGAGUUCUCCCUGAGACUUAGAGUCUCCUGAAGGAACGUUGAAGACGACGACGUUGAUAGGCCGGGUGUGUAAGCGCAGCGAUGCGUUGAGCUAACCGGUACUAAUGAACCGUGAGGCUUAACCUU
rnacentral:rRNA from 1 species